GGAGUUAAGUGUUAAACCAAGGUAGACGACGGUUCUGCCUUCAGGCUCCGGGUUAGGGUGAAUGCGCUAGUGCGUGGAGUUGUGGAGGAGCGAUUGGGGAAGGAUGUGAUUCAUGUGGAGCUAGCUGCCUAGCUCAGUGUCCUUGAAGCUUGACAGAUGACAGGUACUGCUGAGAAGUACUGGCCAUGCAAAUUAACAAAAAGGCGUCCGUGAAGGAGUUUGUUCAAUAGAAAGCCAGCAGCCAAAGUGCGAAUUUGGCCAGACAACAAGUACUCAUGCUAUAUGCUUAUU
rnacentral:lncRNA from 1 species